rnacentral:pre_miRNA from 1 species
AUGCUACUCCCUCCGAUCCAUAUUACUAGUCUUAGAUUUAUCUAGAUAGGGAUCUGUAUCUAGACAAAUCUAAGACAAGUAAUAUGGAUUGGAGGGAGUAGUAU